rnacentral:rRNA from 1 species
AACGAACGCUGGCGGCAGGCUUAACACAUGCAAGUCGAACGGUUCCUUCGGGGACAGUGGCAGACGGGUGAGUAACGCGUGGGAAUCUACCGUAUCCUGCGGGAUAGCUCCGGGAAACUGGAAUUAAUACCGCAUACGCCCUUCGGGGGAAAGAUUUAUCGGGGUAUGAUGAGCCCGCGUUGGAUUAGCUAGUUGGUGCGGUAACGGCGCACCAAGGCGACGAUCCAUAGCUGGUCUAAGAGGAUGAUCAGCCACAUUGGGACUGAGACACGGCCCAAACUCCUACGGGAGGCAGCAGUGGGGAAUAUUGGACAAUGGGCGCAAGCCUGAUCCAGCCAUGCCGCGUGAGUGAUGAAGGCCUUAGGGUUGUAAAGCUCUUUCACCGGUGAAGAUAAUGACGGUAACCGGAGAAGAAGCCCCGGCUAACUUCGUGCCAGCCGCCGCCGUAAUAC